rnacentral:rRNA from 1 species
CUAGGAUGAACGCUAGCGACAGGCCUAACACAUGCAAGUCAGGGGCAGCACAAGGAGCAAUCUGAGGUGGCGACCGGCGCACGGGUGAGUAACACGUAUGCAACCUGCCUGUAAGCGGGGAAUAACCCGUUGAAAGACGGACUAAUACCGCAUAAUACUAAAUUACUGCAUGGUAAUUUAUUUAAACAUUUAUGGCUUACAGAUGGGCAUGCGCAUGAUUAGCUAGUUGGAGAGGUAACGGCUCCCCAAGGCAACGAUCAUUAGGGGUUCUGAGAGGAGGGUCCCCCACACUGGUACUGAGACACGGACCAGACUCCUACGGGAGGCAGCAGUGAGGAAUAUUGGUCAAUGGACGAGAGUCUGAACCAGCCAAGUCGCGUGCAGGAAGAAUGUCCUAAUGGAUUGUAAACUGCUUUUGCAGGGGAAUAAAGUGCAUCACGUGUGAUGUUUUGUAUGUACUCUGCGAAUAAGGAUCGGCUAACUCCGUGCCAGCAGCCGC